rnacentral:rRNA from 1 species
CCUACGGGAGUCAGCAGUGAGGAAUAUUGGUCAAUGGACGAGAGUCUGAUCCAGCCAAGUAGCGUGAAGGAUGACUGCCCUCUGGGUUGUAAACUUCUUUUAUAUGGGAAUAAAGUGUUCCACGUGUGGGUUUUUGUAUGUACCAUAUUAAUAAUGAUAGGCUAACUCCGUGCCAGCAGCCGCGGUAAUACGGAGGAUCCGAGCGUUAUCCGUAUUUAUUGGGUUUAAAGUGAGCGUAGAUGGGUUGUUAAGUCAGUUGUGAAAGUUUGCGGCUCAACCGUAAAAUUGCAAUUGAUACUGGCAGGCUUGAGUACAGUUGAGGUAGGCGGAAUUCGUGGUGUAGCGGUGAAAUGCUUAGAGAUCACGAAGAACUCCGAUUGCGAAGGCAGCUUACUAAACUGCCACUGACACUGAUGUGCGAAAGUGUGGGUAGCAAACAGGAUUAGAUACCCUGGUAGUC